AUUGAACGCUGGCGGCACGCCUUACACAUGCAAGUCGAACGGCAGCACGGGAGCAAUCCUGGUGGCGAGUGGCGAACGGGUGAGUAAUGUAUCGGAACGUGCCCAGUCGUGGGGGAUAACGUAGCGAAAGCUACGCUAAUACCGCAUACGAUCUAUGGAUGAAAGCGGGGGAUCGCAAGACCUCGCGCGGUUGGAGCGGCCGAUAUCAGAUUAGGUAGUUGGUGGGGUAAAGGCCCACCAAGCCUGCGAUCUGUAGCUGGUCUGAGAGGACGACCAGCCACACUGGAACUGAGACAUGGUCCAGACUCCUACGGGAGGCAGCAGUGGGGAAUUUUGGACAAUGGGCGCAAGCCUGAUCCAGCAAUGCCGCGUGCAGGAAGAAGGCCUUCGGGUUGUAAACUGCUUUUGUACGGAACGAAACGGCGAGCUCUAAUACAGUUUGCUAAUGACGGUACCGUAAGAAUAAGCACCGGCUAACUACGUGCCAGCCGCCGCGGUAA
rnacentral:rRNA from 1 species